UCCGUGUUCUGCCAAUGACGCUAAAUACGCGUGCGCGCGCGCUGCCGGCAGCCAUGGCGGUGUCGUCCUGGGUCACCUGUGCCGCGUUCCUCCCCUUUUCUGCAUCUACGGCCAUCGGAGACCAGGAGUCAUGCCGGGCUGCUCUGGGGCCAGGUGGAAAUCGAGGCCAGGUGGACGGACGACCCGCAGCGUGGGAGGGCUGACCGGCCGCCUGCAAGAUGUCCUGCCUCGGAAAUACGUCCUGAGAAGACUGAGGAAGAAGAGGCCAUUUCUUUAGUCUAGGAAACCCAAGGUGCUAGAGCUGGGGGAGACCUGAAGUGACAUCAGUGGUUACCAGGCUGACUCACGGAUCUUCUGAGGGAUGAGGAAACAGAAAGCCAGGCCUGAUGUGAAGCCUGCUGUUUGCCACCCCUCUAAGGGGUCAGCAGUUUCCGGUUCUUGGCCCAAGUUGCUGUGCUUCAGGACCAUGCUGUGUGUGGGAGACAAGCGCUGUCUCAGUGACGAUAUUGGAGCUGGCUGGAAGAAAGCAGACCUGCUUGCUAUAUCCAAGCUCUCAGGAGGCAGAGGCAAGACAAUCAUGAAUUCAAGGCCAUCCUGGGCUACAAGAGACCCAGUUUCCAAAAAAGACAAAUAAAUUUAGUUUUUUCUGAA